CGCGGGGUGGAGCAGCCUGGUAGCUCGUCGGGCUCAUAACCCGAAGGUCGUUGGUUCAAAUCCAGCCCCCGCAACCA
rnacentral:tRNA from 3 species